rnacentral:tRNA from 1 species
UCGCGGCGUGGGCGGGCGUCUUCGGGCGGUUCGCGGCGGCCGCGGGCGUCGAGCUCGACGGCGACGCGGUGUUCGGCGCGCUGUUCCGCGAG